rnacentral:rRNA from 1 species
CGUGUAGGCGGCCUUGUAAGCCAGACGUGAAAGCCCUCGGCUUAACCGGGGAAGUGCGUCUGGAACUGCUUGGCUUGAGUACGGGAGAGGGAGGCGGAAUUCCCAGUGUAGAGGUGAAAUUCGUAGAUAUUGGGAGGAACACCGGUGGCGAAAGCGGCCUCCUGGACCGAUACUGACGCUAAGACGCGAAAGCGUGGGGAGCAAACAGGAUUAGAUACCCUGGUAGUCC